rnacentral:rRNA from 1 species
UGCGUAGGCGGAUUAAUAAGUCAGUGGUGAAAACCUGCAGCUUAACUGUAGAACUGCCAUUGAUACUGUUAGUCUUGAGUACGGUCAAGGUAGGCGGAAUGUGUAAUGUAGCGGUGAAAUGCUUAGAUAUUACCCAGAACACCGAUUGCGAAGGCAGCUUACUGGACCAUUACUGACGCUGAGGCACGAAAGCGUGGGGAGCGAACAGGAUUAGAUACCCUGGUAGUCC